rnacentral:rRNA from 1 species
UGCAGUCGAACGGCAGCACGGACUUCGGUCUGGUGGCGAGUGGCCCUUUGAAGAGUAUAUAUCGGAACGUGCCCAGUCGUGGCUGAAACGUAGUGAAAAUUACGCUAAUACCGCAUACGAUCUAUGGAUGAAAGCGGGGGAUCGCAAGACCUCGCGCGAUUGGAGCGGCCGAUAUCAGAUUAGGUAGUUGGUGAGGUAAAGGCUCACCAAGCCAACGAUCUGUAGCUGGUCUGAGAGGACGACCAGCCACACUGGGACUGAGACACGGCCCAGACUCCUACGGGAGGCAGCAGUGGGGAAUAUUGGACAAUGGGGGAAACCCUGAUCCAGCGACGCCGCGUGUGUGAAGAAGGCCUGCGGGUUGUAAAGCACUUUUAGUGGGGAGGAAAACCCCUGACCUAACACGUCAGGAAUUGACUUAACCCAAAGAAAAAGCACCGGCUAACUCUGUGCCAGCAGCCGCGGUAAUACAGAGGGUGGCAGCGUUAAUCGGAAUUACUGGGCGUAAAGC